rnacentral:lncRNA from 1 species
GCGGUCAGGCUUCCGCUGGGUCCUAACGCCAGGAAAGUCUCAGUGGAACCUCAGCGCCCCCUAGCUGCUGCCCCGCGUCAGCGCCUCGCCCUUUGCCCGAAGACCAGGCGUUUGAGAGCGGUCCUCCUUCCAGAGCACAUCCGCAGGCUUCCAAGGGUUAGGCUAACCUAACGCGUGCUGUCUCCGUGCCAAGCGGCAGUUUUCCCGGCCUCAAUUAGUAUUAGCCACCUUGUCGCCUCUUGGCUGUUCUGAGGAUCAAAUGGGCUGAGGUUUGUGAAAAGCGUCUCGUAAACCGUGAAGUGCGCUGUGCGAGUUUAAGGCAUUAUUCGUCCUGACACUUUCUCAACUCUGAUCGGAUUUCCUCACCUCCUGGAGGUGGAAAUGGAAGCUCACCGAAGUGGCUUUUCUCCAGGGUCUUAUGCAUCCCCAGCAAUGGGCCUGCCACCCUCCAGAUUCUUUCCCAUUAAAGGACCGCCUUUUUGGACCCCUCCCUCACCCAAGUGUCGGGCCUGCAUCAAGAGCUAGGGCAAGACCCCAGGGCUUUCCACUACAACCCCCAAGUGCCACUUAAUCAAUGGACUCUGGGCUGCUAUCUGGGUAGAGCCUCCUCUGCUUCUAACAGCUCACUCCUUUGGCACAGCCUCAGGCAAAGGAAGGAAACUCAGGGCAGCACCACACCCAUCACUCCGGGCCUGACUCACUAAGGCUUUGGGGGUAGGCCAAACAUCUUUGGGGGGGGGGAGUAAGAGAAAGAAGACAGGGUCUGUCUUCAAACCCCUGUCUCCUUUCUAUUAAUGAGGGCCCCCCCCCACACACACACACAGUUUGCUCUCUCGCCCUGUGGCUUAUUCCACUGAAUCAGCCUGUGAUUCCAGGGCACCAAACAGUAGCUGGGGUGAGAGACCUAGGUUCCAGUCCCCGCCCUGCCUCUUCACCAGCUGGGACUUCAAACAAUUCUCUUGACCUCUGAGUCAAGUUUCCUCAUCUGAAAUUAAUGGGAAAAUACUAACAAGCAGGAGAGCGCUGUGGUCAGAAGCAUGGGCACCGGAUUCAAAUGAUCUGCUUCCCAAUCUUAGCUCCCCCACUUUGUAUCUUUGGGGUGAGGCUAUACAAUCUUUCUGUCUUUCUCUCAUUAGUACAGUGGGAUUUAUCCAGUUCUCUCGCUCUGUGUGUUGUUGCGAUAUUUCGGUAAGAUUUCGGGUCAAGCACUUAACAGGGUUUCUGAUGCUCACCGAGCCAAUGCCUACAGGGAUAGCCUGCCUUAGGAGCUUGUCUUGCGGUCUUACAAGAUAGGUGCGAUUGUAGUUAUUACAACUGCUCUUGGGGUAGUCAACUUUCCGCCCCUCCAGUAGGGAUCGGAUGCCAGGUGAUAAUGUUUGUAAAUUGCAAAGCGCCAUCGGAAUGUUGGGGUGGCUGUUUCCCUUUCCCCUCAAAGCUGCUGAGCUCUUACAGGUGCAGCACGAUAAAGCUGAGAGGCUGCAAACCCCUCUGUGUUGUGGGUACUCAGGAGGUGGAAUGCUCCAGAAAAGCCAAAGCUUCCCUAAAACUGCGCCCAGAGUUUCAGCCUGCUUGCCAUUCUCUCGUCUUGUUCCCCUGGCUGGUGCAAGGAGCACCCACGAUGUCAAACUUGGUCCCCCUUGCGUCCUCUCUGAAACCCACUCUCUCUAGGGAGCUUUUCCGGACUCAUCCCCACUGACUUCCGGCUUCCCCACUGACUCCUUCACCCCACCUCCACCACACCCUUCAUCUGGACAGCCUUUCUACGGACCCGCUGCUUAGACGUCCGUGUAAAGAAUCCAAGCCUAGUGACCUGAGGACAGGAACACUGUCCAUCCACACAACGCCCACAUCCAUGUAACAUCCGCAUUCUUACAUGUUCAGUAAAGACCCCUCUUGAAGAUAAGCAGGAAAUGAUCAAUAUAAUACCUCCAAUCUCUAUCUCAUUCCCUCCCCCCUCCCACCCCCCCCAAAUCAUGUCUAACAGAACCUCAGGCUGCUGGGAAUACUUAUUUAUUUGGUCUAUUAACACCAAGAUCUGCAAAAAAACAACUUCUAAACACAGGAUAAGAAAACUUGAACAUUAACAUUCUUCGAUUUCGCGUAAGCUCUGCGGUACGGAAAAUAUACAAACUUCAAACAGCUGCAAAAAUAGUGUCUUUGGGAGAAAAUAGAGUUUCUACAUCGAUACAAGAAAAAUAGGCAUUUUUCUAAUCCAACCCAGUCCUGGGGCAGGUGGAGGGUGGAGGGUCGCCACUUGCCACCUGGAGGAAUGCCAGCUGUCCCUCUCCCCCACUGCCCACCUGGGGCUGGGCAAGCCGGGCCGCUGCUUAAGACAAUCUUAGGGUGAAAGCGAGAUGAAAAUGCCACUUGGGAAAACGCUUGGUUCCCAUCUCUGCCAGCAGCUGCAUUGGUCAAGUGUUCUGGCCCUUGAGGGCUGCUUUGGUCGGCUCCUCCAAUGAGAGGGAGGCAUGGGGAGGGGGGUAUAUAUCUUCACGUCUCCUCCUCCGUGUCCGGGGGGUGGGGGGAGAGGGAAGGACAUCUGUGGGGUCCCCUCUCCUUCGAUCAUGGGCAGCUUGCUCCAUGACAAGGUCAAGGGCGCCAUAUACAGCCCUUUGGACUCACACCCAGGGGUGGGGGACCCAAAACCUUCGGGGGUGAGUUUUCCACCAAGUGAGAGAGGCGGCAAGAACACAGGUGUGACUUGUGAGCUGCCCAGCUGCUAGUGGAGAAGGCAGGUCCCCUCACAUUCGGAGGGGCCGGUGUCCGCCAGAAAGAGGACCCGGGGCUUUGACACGAUAAAUGAAAGUGCUCGAAGGCCGGAAGGGAAGGGCUCCUUCAUCCCCCACCUCAGGGGAGCUAGGGAGGGGCCUGCCACCAAGGCACUGGUCUCCAUGGCGAAGUGAUGGGGUCAGGGCCCUCAGACCACCAGGGAACUCUGGAAAAGCACAGGCUCUUCUGAUGGCGGGGUGCGCUGCCACGGCUCGAAUGGCAGCGAGGAGGCUUUGGUGGCCUCUGGAUCCUUCCGAGGCGGUGGCCUGGGGCUGGCAGGGGGAAGGGGGGACCCCGGGCUCGAGGGGCAGUUGCGGAAAAUGAAGCCCAUGCUGGGGAAGAGGGGCUUCAUCAAGCUGACGGGGCAGAAGGCCGAGCCGGUCGGGUUGAAAUGAACUUUGUUCUUGUCAGGACAGGAAGUCAGGAAGGCCAGGUCAGGGCCUGGGGACCUGGAGGACGGAGAGAGAAACACACACACACAGGGAGAGAAACAGCUAGUGAGAAGGGAUGGGGGCAUCAGGGGAACUGGGUCUCUGUUCAAACGGGAGAAAACUACAGGCUACUAAGCCAGUCUUUAGGCCCUCCGCUCUCCAUUUAUUAGGAAUAGGGUUAAACCACAGGAAAUCUACUUUAUCUAGAAACAGGAGGGAUUAAAGCUAGACCGGAAGGAGAACUUCCUCACGAUGUGAUUUCUGAAGAGGAAACCAAGGGAUCUUUUCUAAAAAAAAUUUUUCUAAUAUUUAUUUUUGAGAGAGACAGAGACAGAAUGCGAGUGGGUUAGGGGCAGAGAGAGAGGGAGACACAGAAUCCAAAGCAGGCUCCAAGCUGUCAGCACAGAGCCUGACGCGGGGCUCGAACUCACGAGCCGUGAGAUCAUGACCUGAGCCGAAGUCGGACGCUCAACUGACUGAGCCACCCAGGCGCCCCCCAAGGGAUCUUUUAAUUUGAGAGAUUUUAUCAGUAAGCAGUGUUUUGGGGGCAGGCCACUUGCCCAAAAGCAGAGACCCAGGCAAAGUGAUUUUCUAAGACUUUUUGUAGUCUAAAGCAGGGUUUCUCAGCAACAGCGCUAUGGAUGUGUGGGGCUGGGUAAUUCUUGGUGGCAGGGAGCUGUCCUGAGCCUUGUAGGAUGCUUACCCGCAUCCCUGGGCCCUACCCACCAGGUACCAGGAGCACCUGUGCCCCCCUUAGGCUGUGACAACCAAAAAUGUUUCCUGACAUUGCCAAAUGUCCCCUGGCGGGGGGGGGGAGGGGGGAUGUCCCCCACUGAAAUCUACUGACCUAAAGAAUCUCAUUUUUGAACACAUUUGAAAGGUGUGAUUUUUUUCAAAGCCCUUGCUGAGAGGCAAGGGUAACAACCGUCUGGAGAAGGCAGCCCGACCUUAAUAGGAGGUCUGGGCUCUAACUCACCACGCGGUCCUGACCCGCCUAUCUCACCUUUAAUGUGGAAACCACCGUCCCCACCCUUUUGGUCAUGUGGAGGAAACGGAAGGAUAAAAGGAGUGAGGUCAGGGAGUUCUAGAGUAAGGAAUCCUUAUGAUAAAGAAGAUCCAAGGAUGGGGGUGCCCGGGUGGCUCAGUUGGUUGAGCGUCCAACUUCAGCUCAGGUCAUGAUCUCGUGGGUCGUGAGCUCGAGCCCCGCGUCGGGCUUUCUGCCGUCAGUGCACAGCCUGCUUUGGAUCCUCUGUCCCCUCUCUCUCUGCCCCUCUCCCUCUCCUUCUCCCUCUCUCUCUCUCUCUCUCUCUCAAAGACCCAUGGGAAGGCCUGCGGUCCCUGGGGAGUCCACAGCGGCAAGGUAUCCCCCCGACCAAGAAGGGUUGAAAAGAAUCGGUGUGUGCACGCACACUUAGGGAUGGCGACCCAGGAGACCGAGCACCCCUCAAAGGACAUGAGGGCAUGACCCUGAAGGGCUUGAUUCCCCCUCUUCCCUGGGAAAUCCAGGCCAUCUUAUAGGAUCAGCAGCUAGGAAAAGGAGAACGUGGCAAAAGAAUUGCUAAACACAGGGACUUCCCAAUAGGAAAGUUGAUAACAAUGAAAAGGCCGCCAGGAGCUGGGAAUUUCUACCCCAGGGCAUCCCGGAAAGCAUUCAGUGGGUCACCGCCUCUCUGAAAGGGUUAACGCAGGGGCAGGACGCCGCAGGACAUGACUUUAAGACCUCUGCUGGCAUCAUGAGUCCAUGGAAGGAUCAGGACAGGCACCAGCCUUAUUUCCACAAGCAACCCCAGCUCAGAGUUGCUCAAGUAUACUCAGCAGGCUGAAGCACCUGCUUCAGCCGCGAGGUGUGGCCCUCUUCCUCCACACCACCCCUGGGGACCCAGGGUUCUUGGAGAGGUACCAAGGCAACAGUGAUGCUGGGAGAAAAACCCAGGGGGGAGGGGGGGCUGUGGUUUUCUCCAUAAUUCCCACUCCGGCUUAUAGAUGGGCCCCUGCCGCUACCAUGGACUGUCAAACGUGAACGGAGCUCUCAAGUCUCAAACCCUGUCCUAGCUACAUCUUGGCUCACACGCCAUGACUUAAAUCUUCCUGAGAAUCUGCCCCACUGACGAUGAAACUGGCAGGGGGGAAUGAAAUGAGCUCUUAGGGCACCUGCUAAGGGGCAUAUGGAAAGGUUUGGCCCUCUCUGCUAAUGGGAGGGAGCAGAAGUCCAUCAACAUCAGAAUGGGAAGGGGGGUGAAGAGGAGAGAGGGAAACAGACCACAAGAGACUCUUAAGGAUAGAGAACAAACUGAGGGAGGUGGGUGGGGGGUGGGCUAGAAGGGGGAUGGGAAUUAAGGAGGACACGUGUUGUGAUGAGCACUGGGCGUUGUAUGUAAGCGAUGAAUCGCUGAAUUCUACUCCUGAAACCAAUACUGCACCGCGUGUUAACUAACUAGAAUUUAAAUUAAAAAAAAAAAAAUCAGCACCAGAAUGGCUUCUGAGUUGUCCAACCUGGGUCGGGACAAUUCCAUAGUCCAUCCUUGCAAGGACUGGACAUUUCUGUCUGGGAGUUCAUGACACUCGAACCACUGCAGCCACAGGGUGAAGACUUGACUCAGAAGCCAUUAGGAGGCCGUUUGGGGGACUGUCACUGCGGUGGGGACAAGACACCUCGCCUCUCUGCCUGAGAGAACUGGUAUGUUCUCUCUCUCUCUCUCUCUCUCUCUCUCUCUCUCUCCCAUUACUGUCUAGCAAGCUCACGCCUUCUGCGGGGAUGGAAAAAAAAUAGAAGAAACAAAGGGUUUAGGUUUCAGAUCUGUUUCCUUUCCACCUCCUGCAGCACUUGUGGCUGGCAUGUGGGCAGAGAGCAGGUUUCCAUGGAGAUAACGAUAAGCAAAGAUUGAAGGGCUCAGAGUAGGUAAUGUCAACAAGUUUGAUGGUGGAAAAAGUGCAAUACCAAUCAUCUGAAGUUGACAACGUCCCCGGGACAGAGAGUCCAAGACCGAAGAAGAGCCAGUCGGGUGGGACGGUGCAGGGGCUCCCCGCCUUCCCCAGCCCGCCCCAGCCCGCCCCUGCCUGCCCCUGCCUGCCCCUGCCCGCCCUGUCCACAGCAGGUACUCACGUGGCCUCUUCAAACACACGUACUCUCUCGCAGCCUUCCGGGGGCUCCCGCUUAAAGACGUAGCUGUGAUUGGGCCGAGGGGAGGCGGCAAAGGCAAGGACUGGAGAUGGGCUGCUGUCUUCAAGGCAGGCUGGGUGGCCCGGAGAGGAGGCUGCAAACAGAGCAAGGCUGAGCCCAGUGGAGCUGAAGGAAAGGAAGGUCUCCGCUUCCCUGGGCUCAGGCCUCGGUGGAAAGAGGCGACACUGGCAGACGCGGUGAGGGGGCCGGUGGCCGUUAUGCUAAUCCCGGCCGUCCGUCCGUCCUCUCCCUUAGAACAUCUUUGAGGUGGCCUACCAAAGUCCGUAUCUCUUUGUACGGGAUUAAAAAAUGUACAGCUGAGUGGAUGGAAAAACCAGGUCUGUUAUCAAUUCUGGAUUCCCAGGAGGUAGCCUGCAACUGGGGCUCCAAGUCUGACUUUAAAGAAUCCUAACUUCCAUCUCCCCAUGUUCCUCCAAGACUACCCUGCCCUUCUGCGAAUGUGCCACAGCUGCUUCCUCACCAUGGUCUGGAAAAGCUACCCCCUCUUCCAGGAAGAGCUCCUGUGCCGACUCAGAGAAGCCAUCGUCACUCAACCCCGCUGGUGGGAUAAGAUUCCUCUCCCUUUCCACGCGGCGAAUGUACUUUGCCUAGGCUGCAAAUAUUGACCUUAUCUGUAUUUAUCUCACGUUUAUUCCUUAUUACCCUCUGCUCUGUUUACCUCUGUGUAUUGUUAGGUCAUGCCCUUGACCAGCCUCCCUCACGGGGUGCUGCGAGGACCCAACCCGGUGAGGCAGUUCCUCGGGGCUCUAGGACAGGACGAUCAUUAUCGCAGGGAGGAAGGGCUUGGGUCUCGCCCUCCCGUAAAGGUUCCGGGACACAGGACCAAGUGGAGAUCUGGAGUCAGAAAGCUGGGGUUUCAAUCUGGGUCCGUGUGACCCUGGGGGCAAGAGACCAGCUAAGCUUAUUUUAGAUCUUUCGCAACCACCUUGAGACCUGUUGCUGGUGAUGUGCACGGUGGACCCCCGAACGGGCUCAGCAUCCUGAGCCUUCGCCAAAAAAUGAGGAUGGGAGACACUGCUUGCCCGGGUCACAGUCAGAAGGAAAUACAAGUGCAGGUGCGGAGACUUGAUAUAAAUUAUAAAUCAGAAUCUGGGGGCGCGUGGCUGGCUCAGUCGGUUAAGCAUCCCACUUCGGUUUCGGUCGUGAUCUCACGGUUCGCGGGUUCGAGCCCCGCGUCGGGCUCUGGGCUGACAGCUCAGAGCCUGGGGCCUGCUUCGGAUUCUGUGUCUCCCUCUCUCUCUGCCCCUCCCCUGCUCAUGCUCUGUCUCUGUCUCUCUCUCUCUCUCAAAAAUAAAUAAACGUUAAAAAAAAAUUUUAAGAACAAUCAGAAUCUGUGCGGGAGGACCGUUAUUACUACCGGUGUCACAUAUAGGAUAAAAAUGGUUCACGAAGAUAUUCUGGUCGGUUAGGAAGGAGAACUCCCAGGCGUGAAAUUGAUUAGAGGUAUAGAAAGGGCGUGGAGCCUCCCCCACCCCCCCGUACCUCACGUGGGCCCUUCUGCCCCAGCCUCCUCAGCUUACCUUUGUCGUUGGGGACGGACGCCAGCUCCUCGCCUGCACCCCGGUGUUCCUCACGGCUGGCCUGGCCCGAAGGCUGGGGGGAUGCCAGGGGCACGGAGGGAGAGCUGGCAAGGUUGCCAGGCUCCAGGAGGAGGAGGGGGUGGUCACAGCUGCCGCUNUGCCGCUCUGGGGGGGAGCUGGGGCGCGGUGCCCAUCAGGAAUAUCAAGGAUCUGCGGGGGAAGAGGGUGGGAAAGGACCCUCAGGCCCCCGUCUUCAGGCCAACAGAGCUGCGGUGACCCUUCAGGCCCUCCCCUCGGUUGGUCUGUCCUCUAUUCGUCACACACAGCGACAGCAGGACAUGGUUUUCUUAAGUCACUGACUUAAGGGAAAGCCCUUGCUAGGUCUGAAAACAGCACAUGUGGCCCAAUUUAGAAUUACGCGUUUGUUUGUAUGGUUUCCUCAAGGUGAGGCCCCCACCAGGCUCUAAGCCUCGAGGGCAGGGGCCUCCUCCGGAUACACGAAGAUGAUGAACGUUCGGGAAGCACGACGGGGGGCAGACCACCGGGCCACUGACCACGCGAGCCAGGGCAGGACAAGCACGCACGUUAUGAUCACGUAGAAUAUACCCCCGCCUCGCUUUUUAACUAUCAGUGGUACUUGGACCCGCAGCUCACCAAACUGUGUGUGUGUCUGGGUGGGUCUAAAAUCCCACAUACGCGUAAAUUAAAAAUCAACUAGCAAGUAACUCAUAAACUGAGGUGUGUGCCCGUUAGAAUUAUAUUAAUACUGCCCAACUGGCAUUCUCUGAUUGCACUGUGUCAGUAUAAAAAUGUGCCUGAGACUGCAGAAAAGGUAGCAAAUAAUUCUGCCCGGAAGUGAGGGGGGGGGGCGGGGGGGGAGGAUGGGGAGGCUGCACAGGGGCAACUAAGCAUAUGAAGGAUGAAUGUGGGUCACCAGGUGGACGUGGGGGGAGAGGUGAUGACACUCCUGAGGCACGGGUGGGGACAGUGAUGGGAUGGCGACGAGGGAGCAGGGAGCUGGUGCCAUGGCUGAAGAGCGAUGCCCAGCCCCUUCCCCCUGGCUGGGGAGCCCCCUCUCUCCACCCAGCCCGGCCCCUUCCCUUUCCACUCAGCCCCCCAAAGCCUGCCCCAGCCGCACCGCCCAGCUCCGCCGUCCUGAAGGCCAAGCCCAUUUGAGCGUAACAGACUCCAUUUGUGUUCCUCGCGCAGGCUGGUGUUCGCACUGCUCUGUUGAGGUCUCCGUGGUCCGGAGCCCCCGGAGAGCAAAAGUCCGCCCCCCGACCCCGGGCCACUGGCUGUCCCGCGUCAAGGGCGUGCCCCACUCACCCGCAACAGCUCCUCUUCUCCCUGUUCCUUCACAAACACCUCCUCCAGCUCUUGGUUGAGCCCUUCCAGGCUCCGGUGCAGGCAGGGGCUGAGUCGCAGGACAGGUGACCCUGAGGGGAAGCUGGGAGGGGACGCCUGAGGAGGAGGCAGAUGAAGGAAUCACGGACCCCCC